GCCCGGGUGGCGGAAUUGGCAGACGCGCUAGGUUGAGGGCCUAGUUCCGGUUAAACGGAGUGCAGGUUCGACCCCUGUCCCGGGCA
rnacentral:tRNA from 2 species